rnacentral:rRNA from 1 species
UCGAGAAUCAUUCGCAAUGGGCGAAAGCCUGACGAUGCGACGCCGUGUGAGCGAAGAAGGCCUUAGGGUCGUAAAGCUCUUUCGCCUGGGAACAAGGGGAUUUGGUUAAUACCCGAUGACUUUGAGCGUACCAGGUAAAGAAGCACCGGCUAACUCCGUGCCAGCAGCUGCGGUAAUACGGAGGGUGCAAGCAUUAAUCGGAUUUAUUGGGCGUAAAGGGCGCGUAGGCGGGGAUAAUAGUCAGAUGUGAAAUCCCGGGGCUCAACCUCGGAACUGCAUUUGAAACUGUAUCUCUAGAGGGUAGGCGGAGAAAACGGAAUUCCACAAGUAGCGGUGAAAUGCGUAGAUAUGUGGAAGAACACCGGUGGCGAAGGCGGUUUUCUAGCUUAUUCCUGACGCUGAGGCGCGAAAGCAAGGGGAUCAAACAGGAUUAGAUACCCCCGUAGUCC